UCCCGAGUCUAAAAAGAAGACCCACCACCUGGUGCCUCUCAUUUGGUUAUGUGGUGACUGAGUGUUUUCCAGUUUCAUACGUACAAGUCUAUUUUACUCACCGCAGUAAACGGCACUUGGAGAGAGGUAUGGUCAGCUACCUCUGUGUCCACCAAAGGGCAUACUAAAGCUUGGACCCGCAGGAGGGAAGCAGGGAGCGUGUGUGGGCAAACAGGCCAAACGGAGCGGCAGCACACUGUUCCUCCAUUAGCUUCACGCAGCAAACUGAGAAGCCCAGAGAGAAAGGAAAACACAUUCUGGACGGCCUUUGUUUAUUGUUCCUCGCAGAGCAGCUCGGAGCUUACCCAGAGGAGCCUGCUGGGAGUGAGAUCGUCAGCAGACCUUAAGCUUCAGCGAGGUGGAAGGCAAUCCCCAUGGCGACCACUCAGUCGGCGUCACCCCGGGCUGCGCAGGUGCAGCACCUGUAGUAGGCGUGGCCACAUGAGCCCGUGAGUAAGGACCCUUUAUCCAGUGCCAGCCACCGGAUAGGAGCCAGGCCAUGCUCACUGGGCCAGUCACCGGUGUCUCUCAGAAGUUGCCCCACCUGGUACCUCUCGUGCCGACUACCUGGUACCACUGUCUGAACUCCGAGGGGACAGUUCCCCGGCAUUGGCUACCCAGGACGGUGAUGAAUUCCAAAGAUGAAUUUCACUAUAUUGAACAUGGCCCAUUGCAUUUAAAAUUAAAGAGCUGAGAAGAAACCACCACUCGCUGAUGGUAAG